GGUUAAAAAGUUGUGUGUAUUAAUCCUAAAAGUGCAUCAGAACGAAAAAACUCUUUCUCUUCUCUCUUUAGUAUUUUUGAGAGAGAGAGAGGCUCUUAUAUUUGAUGAACUCCGGUAUCGCCGUAAACAUGGCUUAUCUGUUGUCGUGUUCUUGUGAUUCCAUCUAGCAGUUCUAUUCUCGCUGUCUGACAUGUUUUGUCGAUUUUUGUGUCUGGAUGAAGUCUGGUAUCGCCGUAAACAUGGCUUUUCCGUUGUCGUGUUCUUCUCGUGAUUCCAUCUAGCUGUCCCGAGUGUUUCGGGUUUCUGCCCGGUAUCUUCCAGCUUUACUAGUGGGGAAAGCCGGUGUCUGUCCGACAAAUCUAGUUUCCAUAAGAGAUCUAUUUCGGUGGUAAACAAGGAUUAUUCGCGCGUUGUUUCGGCGAUGUUUCCCUCACCGGAUUUGGUGCUCGUCGGCGACGAAAGUUGAUCUCGGUUUCUCUUCCGAUGACUCAUCAACUCGUGUUGCGGUUGUAUUCUCAAGUUGACACGUGUAUAAGAUAGAGACCAAAAGCUAAAAACUCCCUUGGCUUUCGAUGUAAUGUCGGUGAGCUCUUGUUGGGCUCAUACGGGCUUGUCCUUAUCCUGUAAUACUCAUGUUGUGGGCCUUUUGUUUAGGCUCGGUUUGUAUGCCGUGUAUCUUCAAUAAAAAAUAUCUUUCCAGUGAAAAGAAAAAAAAAAAUCCUAAAAGUGAUUGGCCCUUUUGGAUGUACAAGAUUUUGUAUUUAUACAAAAACGAGCAAUUAAUGCA